AGAGUUUGAUCCUGGCUCAGAACGAACGCUGGCGGCGUGCUUAAUACAUGCAAGUCGUGCGAGAAAAUCCCGCUUCGGUGGGGUGAGUAGAGCGGCAAACGGGUGAGUAACACGUAAGGAAUCUACCUCCAAGUCCGGAAUAGCUCUGCCAACGCGGAGUUAAUGCCGGAUGUGGUUAUCGGGUCGCAUGGCCUGGUGACUGAAGGUGACCUCUUCGUCUGAAAGUUAUCGCUUGGAGAUGACCUUGCGGCCCAUUAGCUUGUUGGCGGGGUAACGGCCCACCAAGGCUACGAUGGGUAGCCGGCCUGAGAGGGUGAACGGCCACAUUGGGACUGAGACACGGCCCAGACUCCUACGGGAGGCAGCAGUAGGGAAUUUCGCGCAAUGGGCGAAAGCCUGACGCAGCAACGCCGCGUGAGGGAUGAAGGUCUUCGGGUUGUAAACCUCUGUUGAGUGGGAAGAAACGCAUCGAGGUUAAUAUCUUCGGUGUCUGACGGUACCAUUCGAGGAAGCCCCGGCUAACUACGUGCCAGCAGCCGCGGUAAUACGUAGGGGGCUAGCGUUGUUCGGAAUCACUGGGCGUAAAGGGAGUGUAGGCGGAGAUGCAAGUCAGAAGUGUAACCUACGGGCUCAACCCGUAGCUUGCUUCUGAUACUGUUUCUCUGAGUAGG
rnacentral:rRNA from 1 species